rnacentral:misc_RNA from 1 species
GAUGAAGAACGCAGCGAAAUGCGAUAAGUAAUGUGAAUUGCAGAAUUCAGUGAAUCAUCGAAUCUUUGAACGCACAUUGCGCCCGUCAGUAUUCUGGCGGGCAUGCCUGUUCGAGCGUCAUUACGCCCCUCAAGUCCCCUGUGGACUUGGUGUUGGGGAUCGGCGAGGCUGGUUUUCCAGCACAGCCGUCCCUUAAAUUAAUUGGCGGUCUCGCCGUGGCCCUCCUCUGCGCAGUAGUAAAACACUCGCAACAGGAGCCCGGCGCGGUCCACUGCCGUAAAACCCCCCAACUUUUUAUAGUUGACCUCGAAUCAGGUAGGACUACCCGCUGAACUUGAGCAUAUCAAUAAGCGGAGGA